NUUAGCUGACGAGUUUCAAAUAGGGCGAAACGCGCGUACUGGAC
rnacentral:hammerhead_ribozyme from 1 species